rnacentral:rRNA from 1 species
UAGGGAAUCUUCCGCAAUGGACGCAAGUCUGACGGAGCAACGCCGCGUGAGUGAAGAAGGAUUUCGGUUCGUAAAACUCUGUUGUUAGAGAAGAACAGCGCAUAGAGUAACUGUUAUGCGUGUGACGGUAUCUAACCAGAAAGCCACGGCUAACUACGUGCCAGCAGCCGCGGUAAUACGUAGGUGGCAAGCGUUGUCUGGAUUUAUUGGGCGUAAAGCGAGCGCAGGCGGUCAAUUAAGUCUGAUGUGAAAGCCCCCGGCUCAACCGGGGAGGGUCAUUGGAAACUGGUUGACUUGAGUGCAGAAGAGGAGAGUGGAAUUCCAUGUGUAGCGGUGAAAUGCGUAGAUAUAUGGAGGAACACCAGUGGCGAAGGCGACUCUCUGGUCUGUAACUGACGCUGAGGCUCGAAAGCGUGGGUAGCAAACAGG